UGGUGACACAUUCUACGCGCCGGCGGUGAAGGGACGCUUCACCGUCUCCAGGAACAACGGGCAGAGCACGCUCACCCUGCAGAUGAACAGCCUCAAGGCCGAAGACACCGCCACCUACUACUGCGCGAGAGGUAGUGGUUGUGGUGCUGGUGCUAAUGAGAUUGAU